AUACCGUGGUGUGGGUAUGCUGUAAUGUACUCUUGGAGACGUUCCCAGGCUUCCGGGAUGGUUCAUCCUGAAGUUGUUGGAAACUGGAAAUUCUGUUCUGAAGGGU